GACGAACGCUGGCGGCGUGCUUAACACAUGCAAGUCGUACGGUAAGGCCCUUUCGGGGGUAUACGAGUGGCGAACGGGUGAGUAACACGUGAGUAACCUGCCCACAACUUUGGGAUAACGCUAGGAAACUGGUGCUAAUACUGGAUAUGUGCUCCUGCUGCAUGGUGGGGGUUGGAAAGCUCCGGCGGUUGUGGAUGGACUCGCGGCCUAUCAGCUUGUUGGUGGGGUAGUGGCCUACCAAGGCGGCGACGGGUAGCCGGCCUGAGAGGGUGACCGGCCACAUUGGGACUGAGAUACGGCCCAGACUCCUACGGGAGGCAGCAGUGGGGAAUAUUGCACAAUGGGCGCAAGCCUGAUGCAGCAACGCCGCGUGCGGGAUGACGGCCUUCGGGUUGUAAACCGCUUUCAGCAGGGACGAAGCUUUUUGUGACGGUACCUGCAGAAGAAGCACCGGCUAACUACGUG
rnacentral:rRNA from 1 species